CAUGUCGUGAACCAACCACGGUUCUAUGACUCUGGCAGUCUGGCUACAUAUUUCACGCAUACGCAUUAGCUUUUAAAAUUUUGCAAACGGCAUGACAAUGCCGUGGCGCCGUGGCAAAGAAGGCGGGCAAACUGGCAAAGUGCUGAACUGGUGGCGUAUAAAUUCUCUCCUAGGUCAGAACUUAGAAGUAUAUAUAGCGAGUGAUAGGAUGUCCUUCAGAUGAUUGCAUGAAACUUUUGGUGAAAACCAUGAAUUCAAAUGGAAGAAUUCCAUUGGUGGUGAUUUUGAGGAGAGAUGAAUUAGGUCUUGGAUUGUCUACCAUCUGUGGAGUGAAGGGAGUUAUAACUUUGGGUUAUAUUCCAUGAUGGUGACCUCUGGGGUAUGCUCUGCUGGACAAUGUGGUAGACCAUUCUUUAUGGUGAUACUGUGCUUCUGAUGUUUAUAGCUGCUGUUACAGUGCCUCUACUGGCAUUUUAAUUUUGGGGUCUACCUACCUUCUACAUUUACUCCACAAUCCCUUGGGUUGUUGUGUCGGCUUAUCGCAUAGACUGGUCUUGUUCUGGGACUUGGCGGUUUUAAGUUGGAUAGUUGGUAAAGAAAAUUGCUAAAUCAUCUGAAACUUCUGCAGAGCUGUGUGAAAUAAUUGCCGCCACAGUUUUGAUUCCUCGACAAGUCUUUGUUGUAUGCCAUCAGAUAGAUCGAAGGUUCGGAAUGGGAUGGAAUUCCCGCCGAAUUGAAAAUUGAGCAUCUUGGCCAUCUACUCUUGAUUGUCGAAUCCGUUGCCAAAAAAUAAAUCUUUGUUGAUUGUUCUCUUA
rnacentral:lncRNA from 1 species